ACUUCGGAGAAUCUCAUUGAAUUGAGUGCCGAAGGGGCAAGGCGCAAGCCGAAACUCUCAGGCAAAAGGACGAAGA
rnacentral:ncRNA from 1 species